rnacentral:lncRNA from 1 species
AUCUCAAGUGACCAACUUGAGAAACACCAAAAAUAGAGACGAUACAAGAACACCCUUUGGGACAAAUAUUGUACCCAAAGAAACCUCACAAACACUCUUCUAUAAUAUACACUCUAAUUUUUGGACACUAACUACCACUCACAAAAUUGUGAGUAACUCUCAAAAUUCUCUCUCGGAUAUAACACACAAAAGAAUUGUUUUUGUGUN